ACAUCCCAGCUCCUCAUGUCCCACAUUCUUCAGGCUUUCUCUUAGUUUUGGCAUGUGCAUGUAAAUGUCAACAGUGCCCAGAUCAGCGCCUGAUAUAUACUUGGCACACAAUAACCACUCUUGAAAUUCAUGAAGGAAUCUGGACAUUUAGGGGGUUCACAGAAUCCGCCGCUUUUAGGGAAGAUUCUCUGCCUGAUGUGUGAGCGCUCUAACCUCUUCAUCUGUGUUCAGUCCCCUUGCAAUGCUUCUCUAAGAUCAAUAAAGGCAAAAACCAGGAGAUCCCAUAAAUCCCGCUGAGCCUGUCAUAGCUAUCAAAUUAUACCCAGAUAAAGCUUCUGGUGGCUAAUGACAUGGCCAUCACCCAGCGUGGACGUGGGCAGGAGGGGCUCUCCGGGAGCAUCUGGUCUGCUGUGGAGACACUUGUCAUCUGGAGGCUCUGUGGCUCUAAUGGAGGGUGAUGCUUUGAACGCGACUAUCUCCCCCAUAAAAAAAUAAAUAAAUAAUAAGUAUAAUUUAAAAAUAAACAAAGAUCUGGAUUUGCAGGCUA
rnacentral:lncRNA from 10 species